rnacentral:rRNA from 1 species
UACACACCGCCCGUCACACCAUGGGAGCGGGAUGUACCAGAAGUAGGUAGGCUAACUCGCAAGAGGGGCCGCUACCACGGUGCGUUUCGUGACUGGGGUGAAGUCGUAACAAGGUACCC